AGUUUAGUCCGUCAGUCUCAUUUCUUACAAGGCAAGCAGAAAAAUAAACAAUUCAAAUUGUUUAUUUUUUUCUGCUUGUCUUGUAAUAAAUGAGAUUGACUGGCUAA